UAACGGCGAGUGAAGCGGCAACAGCUCAAAUUUGAAAUCUGGCGAGAGCCCGAGUUGUAAUUUGUAGAGGAUGCUUCUGGGCAGCGGCCGGUCUAAGUUCCUUGGAACAGGACGUCACAGAGGGUGAGAAUCCCGUAUGUGACCGGCGCGCACCCUGCACGUAGCUCCUUCGACGAGUCGAGUUGUUUGGGAAUGCAGCUCUAAAUGGGAGGUAAAUUCCUUCUAAAGCUAAAUACCGGCCAGAGACCGAUAGCGCACAAGUAGAGUGAUCGAAAGAUGAAAAGCACUUUGGAAAGAGAGUUAAACAGCACGUGAAAUUGUUGAAAGGGAAGCGCUUGCGACCAGACUUGUCGGCGGUGUUCCGCCGGGUUUCUACCCGGUCCACUCGCCGUCGGCAGGCCAGCAUCACCUAAGGCCGCUGGAUAAGACGCGGGGAAUGUGGCUCCCUCGGGAGUGUUAUAGCCCCGCGUGAUGCAGCGCGCCCUGGGUGAGGUCCGCGCUUCGGCAAGGAUGUUGGCGUAAUGGUUGUCAGCGGCCCGUCUUGAAACACGGACCAAGGAGUCUAACAUCUAUGCGAGUGUUCGGGUGUCAAACCCCUGCGCGUAAUGAAAGUGAACGGAGGUGAGAACUUCGGUGCAUCAUCGACCGAUCCUGAUGUCCUCGGAUGGAUUUGAGUAAGAGCAUAGCUGUUGGGACCCGAAAGAUGGUGAACUAUGCCUGGAUAGGGUGAAGCCAGAGGAAACUCUGGUGGAGGCUCGCAGCGGUUCUGACGUGCAAAUCGAUCGUCAAAUUUGG
rnacentral:rRNA from 1 species